rnacentral:rRNA from 1 species
UACGAAGGGGGCUAGCGUUGCUCGGAAUCACUGGGCGUAAAGGGUGCGUAGGCGGGUUAUUAAGUCAGAGGUGAAAUCCUGGAGCUCAACUCCAGAACUGCCUUUGAUACUGAUAGUCUUGAGUAUGGGAGAGGUGAGUGGAACUGCGAGUGUAGAGGUGAAAUUCGUAGAUAUUCGCAAGAACACCAGUGGCGAAGGCGGCUCACUGGCCCAUUACUGACGCUGAGGCACGAAAGCGUGGGGAGCAAACAGGAUAGAUACC